rnacentral:sRNA from 1 species
AGCCGGCCCCGUACGGCUGCAAGGGAGGCUCCUGUGGACAGGCCAGGCAGGUGGGCCUCAGGAGGUACCUCCAGGCGGCCAGUGGGCCUGAGGCCCCAGCAAGGGCCAGGGUCCAUCUCCAGUCCCAGGACACAGCAGCGGCCACCAUGGCCACGCCUGGGCUCCAGCAGCAUCAGCAGCCCCCAGGACCGGGGAGGCACAGGUGGCCCCCACCACCAGGAGGAGCAGCUCCCGCCCCUGUCCAGGGGAUGACGGAUUCUCCUCCGCCAGCCGUAGGGUGUGUGCCCUCCAGCCUCACGGGGACCCUGUCUCCGAGUCGUUCGUGCAGCGUGUGUACCAGCCCUUCCUCACCACCUGCGACGGGCACCGGGCCUGCAGCACCUACCGAACCAUCUAUAGGACCGCCUACCGCCGCAGCCCUGGGCUGGCCCCUGCCAGGCCUCGCUACGCAUGCUG